UACGAAGGGUGCAAGCGUUACUCGGAAUUACUGGGCGUAAAGCGUGCGUAGGUGGUUGUUUAAGUCUGUCGUGAAAGCCCUGGGCUCAACCUGGGAAUUGCGAUGGAUACUGGGCGACUAGAGUGUGGUAGAGGACAGUGGAAUUUCCGGUGUAGCAGUGAAACGCGUAGAGAUCGGAAGGAACAUCUGUGGCGAAGGCGACUGUCUGGGCCAACACUGACACUGAGGCACGAAAGCGUGGGGAGCAAACAGG
rnacentral:rRNA from 1 species